CGCUCACAUUUUUAAUUCAUAAUUUAAAAUGUACAAGGCUGUAGAGAAAACAUUGAACUUUAAUUUAUAAAUUCAUUUGUUUUUCCUCUUAUUGAUAUUAUCAAAAGGUAUUUAUUAUUUAUCUUGCGGUAUUUGAUUUGAUGCGGUUAUUCUUGUGUUGCCUUUUUUGAUGUUACUGGAAGAAUAUUAGAAAGAGCAGUGUGGCAAGAAUUUGUUUCUAGUUAUGAUGAAGUAGAUUAUCGGUUAUAUCUUCGGGAUAAAGAAUAAACUGAAGGAAUUUCACCUGCUGCAUCUUUUCUCAACCCGCUUUCUGCGGUUCUAGCAAACGAAGUAAACGC